GGCCGGGGAGCUCUCUCAUGAGAAGGAUCUCAUGAGGAUCUCUCGAGAUCUGCAUGUGACCAAACUGGGUGUCCAGAGCUGCUGACCAGGCAGCGGCUCCUCACUCAGUACCAGACAGAGCCACCCGCAGAGCUUCAAAAGAGAUAGGGUUGGGUACUCUCUGGCGUCCCUGCAAUGGUACCCACUUCCCUGUGCAUAAUUCCUCAUAGUAAGGAUUGCUUAACCAGACCUAGGCCACUGUAUACCCCAGGAUACCCCAAAGCUGUCAGUACAUUUGUGCAUUCACAAUGUGCAGUUUGAGGAAGAGCCAGUCCAAAGCUUUUAUGGGAUUCUCAAGUCUCCAGGACCCAAACAAGGUUAGGACUCACUACUGCUGAAAAGCCAGACCUCCGCUAAGCCAGAGCGGAUAGAGAACGCAGGCCUGACUCCGUCCAGAAAUGUGCUUUUUAAUAAAGGAUCCAGAAGGCUGAAGCCCUUUCCAGAAUCAAAGGAAUGCACGCUAGAGGGGACAUGGCAGUCCUGGCAUGAGAACUAUCUGGGGCAGGUGGCAGCCCCUGGUUUCUCCCCCACACAGAUGCUCACCCUCUCCUGGUCCAUCUGGAGCAGGCGGCAAUGCCAGGCAGGCAGGGGCUCGGUGUGGACCUGCGGCCCCACAGUGACGCUGUGUGGUGGAUCGAUGAAACAGCAGCGGAGGCAGCCACAGGGACUCCAGCUUUCAUUCUGGAGCAACACAAACAGGCACCCAGUGGGUCAUGAGCAGUUCAAGGGUGAAGAGAGGGGCCCUGAAGAGGGAGACAGCAGGCUUCUUGUUAAUAAGGUAGGUGUCACCGCUGUAGGACAGUUCUGGCUGAAGGAAUGCGGGCAGAGAGGUAUUCCUGUCAGGGUGGCCUUCAGCCUGCCUGUAUAGCCCUCUGAUCCUUUCGGCAGCCAGCCUGGACCUGGAUGUGGAAGCCACAGUGGAAAGACAUAGGAACUCAGCAUCGCAACAGGACAUGGGGGACACUGUCUGCUAACAGAGAUACUGUCUUGGAUUUUAUGUAGGCCAACAUCGUGCAGAGGCUUUGAGAUCUGAGGGGUUUGUUUGUUCCAGUGGAUAAUGUUCCAAAUCAAUAAAUGGAAGAAUGGGGUUCAGUCUCUUCCACCUGGU